AACGCGAAGAACCUUACCCAGGCUCGAAAUGUAACGGCUAGUACCAGAGAUGGUAUGUUCCGCAAGGACUGUUAUAUAGGUGCUGCAUGGCUGUCGUCAGCUCGUGCCGUGAGGUGUUUGGUUAAGUCCAGCAACGAGCGCAACCCUUAUCAUUAGUUGCCAACAUUUAAGGUGGGGACUCUAAUGAGACUGCCUGGGUUAACCAGGAGGAAGGUGAGGAUGACGUCAAGUCCGCAUGGCCUUUAUGUCUGGGGCUACACACGUGCUACAAUGGUCGGUACAGAAGGCAGCAAGACCGCAAGGUGGAGCAAAUCCGUAAAGCCGAUCUCAGUUCAGAUUGUAGUCUGCAACUCGACUACAUGAAGUUGGAAUUGCUAGUAAUGACGUAUCAGCAACGACGUCGUGAAUACGUUCCCGGGCCUUGUA
rnacentral:rRNA from 1 species